rnacentral:ribozyme from 1 species
UGCCCAGCAACUCCUAUCCCUACCUCCUCGUGGUACUGACCGGGGUACGAGCAACCUUAGGGAAGA